rnacentral:rRNA from 1 species
GCUGUCCCUAGUACGAGAGGACCGGGAUGGACGAACCUCUAGUGUACCAGUUGUCUCGCCAGGGGCAUUGCUGGGUAGCUAUGUUCGGAAGGGAUAAGCGCUGAAAGCAUCUAAGUGCGAAGCCCACUCCAAGAUGAGAUAUCCCGUGGGAUAACCCACCUAAAGGCUCCUUGUAGACUACAAGGUCGAUAGGUCACAGGUGUAAGCGCAGCAAUGCGUUCAGCCGAGUGAUACUAAUCAGCCGUGAGGCUUGACCUUUUUAUA